UAGGGAAUCUUCCACAAUGGACGCAAGUCUGAUGGAGCAACGCCGCGUGAGUGAAGAAGGUUUUCGGAUCGUAAAGCUCUGUUGUUGGUGAAGAAGGAUAGAGGUAGUAACUGGCCUUUAUUUGACGGUAAUCAACCAGAAAGUCACGGCUAACUACGUGCCAGCAGCCGCGGUAAUACGUAGGUGGCAAGCGUUGUCCGGAUUUAUUGGGCGUAAAGCGAGUGCAGGCGGCUCGAUAAGUCUGAUGUGAAAGCCUUCGGCUCAACCGGAGAAUUGCAUCAGAAACUGUCGAGCUUGAGUGCAGAAGAGGAGAGUGGAACUCCAUGUGUAGCGGUGGAAUGCGUAGAUAUAUGGAAGAACACCAGUGGCGAAGGCGGCUCUCUGGUCUGCAACUGACGCUGAGGCUCGAAAGCAUGGGUAGUGAACAGG
rnacentral:rRNA from 1 species